CCAAGUCGGCUUCGGCCGGCUGGGGGCGCACCUUAGCGCACACGUUGGUACCCGAAAGAUGGUGAACUAUGCCUGGCCAGGAUGAAGUCAGGGGAAACCCUGAUGGAGGUCCGCAGCGAUUCUGACGUGCAAAUCGAUCGUCUGAGCUGGGUAUAGGGGCGAAAGACUAAUCGAACCAUCUAGUAGCUGGUUCCAUCCGAAGUUUCCCUCAGGAUAGCUGGCGCCGAUGUGUCCCGCCCGUUCGCGGGCGUACGGACGCCGGUGGGACUCCGCGCUGUACGGCGCGGUAACAACACGCUCGUAACACGGAGGAUGUCUCAUACGGUAAAGCGAAUGAUUAGAGGACAUUGGGGCCGAAACGACCUCAACCUAUUCUCAAACUAUAAAUGAGUGAGAUCGCCGGCUUUACCUGGUACACCGCGUGAACCGCGUGCGAAGCCGGCGACGGAACCCUAGGCGCUUAGUGGGCCAUUUUUGGUAAGCAGAACUGGCGCUGCGGGAUGAACCGAACGCCGAGUUAAGGCGCCGAAAUCGACGCGUAUUCAGAGACCAUGAAAGGCGUUGGUUGCUGAUGACAGCAGGACGGUGGCCAUGGAAGUCGGAAUCCGCUAAGGAGUGUGUAACAACUCACCUGCCGAAGCAACUAGCUCUGAAAAUGGAUGGCGCUGGAGCGUCGUGCCUAUACUCGGCCGUCGACGGCAUAGUGGGGCCAGUCGUCGCUCGCGGCGGCCGGUCCCGGCAAGCCUCGACGAGUAGGAUGGCGCGGCGGUGUGCGUCGAAGGGCAGGUCGCGAGACCGCCUGGAGCCGCCGUCGGUGCAGAUCUUGGUGGUAGUAGCAAAUACUCGAGAGGGGCCCUCGGGGGCUGCCGUGGAGAAGGGUUUCUUGUGAACAGCCGUUGUCCAAGAGUCAGUCGAUCCUAAGCCCGGGGAGAGAUCCUCGUACCACGGGCGAAGGCGUUUCGAA
rfam:Acyrthosiphon pisum strain LSR1 Contig793, whole genome shotgun sequence.